rnacentral:rRNA from 1 species
GACGAACGCUGGCGGCGUGCUUAACACAUGCAAGUCGAACGGUGAUGCUCCAGCUUGCUGGAGUGGAUCAGUGGCGAACGGGUGAGUAACACGUGAGCAACCUGCCCCAGACUCUGGAAUAAGCGCUGGAAACGGCGUCUAAUACUGGAUACGAAACUGGCCCGCAUGGGCAUGGUUUGGAAAGUUUUUCGGUUUGGGAUGGGCUCGCGGCCUAGCAGCUUGUUGGUGAGGUAAUGGCUCACCAAGGCGACGACGGGUAGCCGGCCUGAGAGGGCGACCGGCCACACUGGGACUGAGAAACGGCCCAGACUCCUACGGGAGGCAGCAGUGGGGAAUAUUGCACAAUGGGCGGAAGCCUGAUGCAGCGACGCCGCGUGAGGGAUGACGGCCUUCGGGUUGUAAACCUCUUUCAGCAGGGAAGAAGCGAAAGUGACGGUACCUGCAGAAGAAGCACCGGCUAACUACGUG